AUUGAACGCUGGCGGCAGGCCUAACACAUGCAAGUCGAGCGAUCGUCGGACGGGUGAGUAAUGUCUGGGAAACUGCCUGAUGGCGGGGGGUAACUACUGGAGACGGUAGCUAAUACCGCAUACCAUCAGAUGUGCCCAGAUGGGAUUAGCUAGUGGGUGGGGUAACGGCUCACCUUGGCGACGAUCCCUAGCUGGUCUGAGAGGAUGACCAGCCACACUGGAACUGAGACACGGUCCAGACUCCUACGGGAGGAAGCAGUGGGGAAUAUUGCACAAGGGGGGAAAGCCUGAUGCAGACAUGCCGCGUGGGUGAAGAAGGCCUUCGGGUUGUAAAGCACUUUCAGCGGGGAGGCGUUACCCGAAGAAGAAGCACCGGCUAACUCCGUGCCAGCCGCCGCGGUAAUUC
rnacentral:rRNA from 1 species